UACGUAGGUGGCAAACGUUGUCCGGAUUUAUUGGGUUUAAAGGGUGCGUAGGCGGCCUUAUAAGUCAGUGCUGAAAUAUCCCGGCUUAACCGGGAGGGUGGCAUUGAUACUGUAGGGCUUGAGUGUAGUCGAGGUAGGCGGAAUUGACGGUGUAGCGGUGAAAUGCUUAGAUAUCGUCAAGAACACCGAUAGUGUAGACAGCUUACUAGGCUACAACUGACGCUGAGGCACGAAAGUGUGGGGAUCAAACAGG
rnacentral:rRNA from 1 species